ensembl:lncRNA
GGGAAGGCUAGAAGAAAUCCCCAGGGCCCUUCAAGUUCACUGCCCAGGAAAGAAGCCACUGAUUCCUUUCUGCGUGUCAGAACGAACCAACACUGUCUCUCACUCUGUCCUUCAUUAUGACUCAGCCAAGAAAACAGAUUCAAAUAUCUCAUCUGUGGUGCUGCCUUGACUUUAGUUCCUGGCCCCUGCACUUGAACCUGAGACUUUCUCCAGCUGUCACGAUUUGACUGCCAUAGCCGUUCACUUCACUCUAAGCAAACAAGACUUCAGCUGUAUUGAUUACUGGCAAACAGGCAUGUACUCAAGUUGAAAAAGGGAAUUCAAGGGAAGGGUUUUAGAUAAGUAAAGGGAAAACUUGAACUCUCUAUACUUCGAAUAUAAGGAGGUUGAAAAACCAGAAGAUCACUGAAGCCAGGCAGGGAGCUAUAGGUGAGAAACCAUAGCAAGAUCAUUUUUCUCCUGGGCUUCAUAGGGCAUUGGUUCAGGAAGCUAUAAAGAAAACUAAUUUUAUAAUGAACAAAUUCUGCCUUUAUGUGUUAGAGAUGUUCAUUUCUUAUAGUAACCAUCUUUCUCUUAAGUCUCUUGUUUAGCCUACUCACCUGCACCAAAAAACAUCAGAGGAAGAGAGGUUUUAUUCAAGCAAAUCCAACACUGUCAGUAAGUAUCAUUCGAAAGCUGAUGUGGUUCACAACAGCAGGAAUCUCAAGAAAUGUCGAAGGAAAGUGAGACACAAAGAGAUAGAGUUGCUUUCAUUUGGUUAUUAGUUCUCCUGAUUCAGAAGUUCCCAUUUCAGUAUGAAUUUUGGAGUUCCAGAGUUUUAUUUUAUUGACAAACAUGGCUUUUAUGUGGUGUCUUCCCUUGUAAAUUCUGCACACUGUUGCGUUCUUUCACAACUGAGACAGUCCACUUUGCCACUGGAUAAAGGGAAAUUUGUCACUGUAGUAAUAUCAAGAGCACCUAGUAGCCAGAAGAGGAAGUAUAGACUAUGAUUCAUUAAUACGUAUUUUGUGCAACAGCUUGAGAGUCAAUUCUUUAUCAAAAUACACCUUGUCUCAAUUUAUUUUUAUCUAAUUUCCACUCUCAAGCUUUCCACAUUGUGUUGUUUGGAAUAUAUUUAAUGUCAAAGAUCUCCAAGUUCACACCUACACAAACUCUGCCGCCUACAGGUGAUUUAUUAAACUACAGCUUUAAAGUAAUAUUCACAAAAUAAAAAAGGAAAAGUGUU